rnacentral:rRNA from 1 species
UAGCCCUACGGGACGCAGCAGUGGGGAAUAUUGCACAAUGGGGGGAACCCUGAUGCAGCGACGCCGCGUGAGUGAAGAAGUAUUUCGGUACGUAAAGCUCUAUCAGCAGGGAAGAAAAUGACGGUACUUGACUAAGAAGCCCCGGCUAACUACGUGCCAGCAGCCGCGGUAAUACGUAGGGGGCUAGCGUUAUCCGGAUUUACUGGGUGUAAAGGGAGCGUAGACGGCAGAGCAAGUCUGAAGUGAAAGCCCGCGGCCCAACUGCGGGACUGUCUUGGAACCUGCCCGGCU